GGUACUCCUCGGCCUGGCCCAUCCUUGUUUGGCCCGUGUAAUCGGAUGGCCGUUUGUUCAGGCAUCAACUUGGCCACGGCCCACCCGAGGCUAGAGGACUGCCACAGAGAGACACGAAAGUCUCCGGCUCCCCUGUCGUCGCCGGCCAUGUUGGCUGGUCGCCGUCGCCGUCCGCCCGGCCCCUCUUCUCGGUUCCGCCUCCCCGCUUCUCAAUUUGAAAGCCCGAGCGCAAAUUGCCGCCGCCGAUGCUGACGCGGCGUUUGCGGCAGUGUUUCGUCGAACACCCGUUUCUUUGUGGCGUAACAGCUGAUGGAGCUGAUAUAAUCAUCAAACGAUUGCUUCCAUAGAGCUUCAAAGAUGUCUCAAAGAUAAAUAGAUACAAUCAUGAAGACAGCGGUAGCAACGCCUUCUGGAAUAUUCCCUGUCCUGGGGCUAGGAUGGCCAAUGGGUCAUAGGCAUUUUUCCUUCGUAGAAAUGUCUCCCACCUUGCCUCAAAGUGGGCCUUCCACUCCUGUUCAGUGUUGUAGUUUGGCAGAUAUUGUUUCACCCCAAUACCUGCCUUGUCAGAGAAUUCUAUUAUCUGGUUGUCGAGGUUCAGUGUAUGUUCGACGCUGUAGGGGCCUGAUGAAGAUGGUGCUGAGGAUAGGAAUCCCACUAGGUAGAAAACUUCCUCAUCUGGUAUGACUACUGACGUUCUGUUGUCCCAUCUGCACGAAAUGGAAAUAGUCAGUCAAUCAAACUACAGAAGGCAUAUCACCGUGAGGUUUCUGGUUUCACAUAUCAUCUAAUUACCUGAAUUUUUUUAAUCAGCGGCUAAUUACCUGAAUUUGUUUACUGGAUAGAGCAAUAUGGGACCAUUGUUGCUGUCUUUCAGUAUUUUCCCAAAGACCUCCCGUGCGAAUGUGUGGAUCGAACUUUUUGGAAUCAUGAGAUUUAGCCAUGGGUGUGGGACUUCCCACAUCCCCUUAGCUCUCAGUUUGACCUCAGAGGAAUGCACCCUAUCCAGGAAUUCGAUGUAGGUGACAUCUGUGUGAAAUAGGGAUGGAGGUAUAUGUCUAAGUUGAUGCAGCAGGUUGUUGACCUCCUGCAGACAUGUGUACACACAAAAUUUGAUCAUUCACAACUUGAUUUGAUUAUUAGUCACAAGUCAUAACCAUAUUGAUGGCAUGCGAUUUGUCUGCUCACCUGUUCCAUGUUGUCCACCUCUUCAGGGUUGUAGUUCUUCGUCAUCUCGAGGCAGAAGAGCACUCCGCCAUCCGACUCGAACUGGCUAGCCCACACUGGAUCCUGUGGGUUAAACGAUGAUCUCCAGUUGUUCAGGAUGCCUGUCCUGUUGAUGAUUACGAAACCCUCUAUAUAAUCAAAGGUCCUUUCUACCGAAAUAAGCAUCUCCUGAUCCUCUGUGAAGCUUGUGAAGUCUGAGUAGAGAACUCUAAUCCACCUCACCUAUUGCAUUUUCAAAUCAUUAACAAGUGGAUUUUUGCUAACAUUAAGUUGAUAUAAAUUAAUUGUUUUGUUGUACCAUUUUUGGAGCUGGCUCGAGGGCAAUCCUGGCUCUAGUGAUGAUGCCGAACUGACCUAGUCCACCAAGAGCAGCAUGGAAGAGAUCAGAGUUCUGCUCAGGUGAGCAAGUGACGAUGUCUCCUCUUCCUGCAUUUGACAGUCACGAUAUAGAAGUCAGAUAAGAAUCCAUUCUGUUGCUUUGGAAACUUCUAAAAUCUAAAUCAUUAUAUCAUCAAGGUAUGUUCAAUACCUGUCACAAUCUCAAGCUCCUUGACAUUGCUGAUUUGUGGGCCAUGCCGGAACGUCUGCCCACUGACCCCUGCAUUCGACAGCGUGCCUCCAAUUGUGAGGUGGAGAUAAUCAGUCCAUGACUUUGGUGCCAGACCAUACUUAAAUGUCUCGUGCAAGACAUUUAUCCAGAGUUCUCCUCCUGAGACAUCAACAUAGGGUGAUGCACCAGAGUGCACCUGCAUUCGGGCAGUCCGGAGGGAUUCCAUUUUGAUGACGAUCCCUCCAGCUGACUGGCACUGCCCUCGGAGUGAGUGUCCAUGACCACGAGCCGCCACUGUGAGCGAUGAGUGCUCACCCCUCAAGAAAACAUGCCUGACAGUAGUGGCAAUGUCAUCUACUGAGCCUGGAUGAAGCACAGCAGCUGGCUUGAAGCUAGAGAGAUUUCCAAAGUCCUGGGCAGCGGCAGCGGUAGACAUGUCGCUGAAGCUGAAAUGGCCAUCAAGGGGUAGUUUAUUGAGGGAUGCAAGCACAUCUUGGUCAGGCACGUGUGCAGUGGUAACUUCACCAAAAACAAAUAAAAGGAAAAACUUCAGGUAUUGCAGAACUGACGGUUUCAUGGCUCUACCUACAGCUCAAGAACCGACUAGUUCGACAGUUCAAAAUUUUGAGGAGAAAGAUGAAAGCGGUAGUACGAUAGUGUGUUUCAGUGCAGGAGCAGAGCAAUGGGAAUGGAGAUGGAGGGAGGGAAGGAGAUUUAAAGGGGGCACUUGGAGGGUUUGCAUGUGGACUAGUGUGGGGGGUGGUGUCGUCAAACCAGACUUUGGAACUGUUUGGUAGAUUAGGAUCAGUAUGAGAACAGGCUUGGCUGCAAAAUAUGGAUGCAGAGUUGCAGACAUAUUGCACUGGUGCAAGUGUUCCUAUCUAGAGUAUCUUGCUUUGUUGCUUCUGCUUGAAGCAUGGCACAAACAUGUGUCAGUAAAUAAAUGGAGGAAGGAUGAAGAGAUGUAGUCCAUUCAUUAGACUCAGUCCAUCAUGGUUCAUAUCAUCCAUUACACCAAGCCCAUGAGGACAGUGACAUUGCAAGGAACGUGCAGUGACAGAUAUAUAUUUUGAAUUGUAUAUGCGAUGCAUAUCUCAGCAGGAUUGAACUUCUAGUCGAGCCAGAUGGUGGUAACCUAGCAGAUAUGUAAGUGGCAGACCUGAUUUCUGUCUUGCAAGGCCAACUGGAUGCUUAAAAUCCGGUUUCAUGUGCAGAAUUUCGUGUCAGUCUUCAGCAGGAUCAUCUGUAGAUGUGAAUAUAUUUGUGCCUUUGGACUUGUCAGUGGCAAACAUCCUCUUGAGCAUAUCUUAUAAAGACAUAAAGUUGCAUAUCUAUUUCUGCAAAACAUACAUGUCGAUAAGAAUAAUCCUUUCUAGCCAAUUUUAGCAAUGUUAAUAUAUCGCUAAAAGAAAUUGCCAAUAUUUGUUCUUAGCUCAAUCGUAUGGACAUGGAAUGCUGAAGGAUUCUUUUCCUUUGUGGUGACCGAGAGCUUUCACAUGAUAAUGUAGAAUCCCUUUGCCAACAUGGUGUUGAUUGUUAUACCCUAGCUACUUACCCAGUUAUUCCUUCUAAGGUUUCUCCGGAAGAAAUGGCAUGUUCUUGUAGAGCCUUUUUUCCAAGUUAUUGUUAGAGUUUAUCUAAUAGAUUCUUUGAUCCUCAUUGUUUCUGGUAUCUAGUCCUAUCUGUUUGAACUUUGAAGGCAACACAAGCAAAUCUGUACAGUAAACCAGAUGUUCUUCCAACUUUGUAUCUUCUCUUUACACGUAUUGAAAUUAAGCGACAGCUAUGCCAUAUAAAGUAGAAAAUAGGGGUGUCAAUUGGUGACCCUUAGGUGCCCCUCCACCCUCUUUAGUUCAAAAUUUUGUAGUAAUUCUCCAAAAUGACGUCUCAUUUUAGAGAAUUAGUACAAAAUUUUGAACUAAACAGGGUUGGAGGGGCACCUAAGGAUCACCAAUUUGCACCCCUAGUAGAAAAAUAAAGACUACUAAAGACCAGUCGUACUCUUCUUGGGAUUUUCUCCAUCUUCGGUGCAUGAUGCCCCUGUGAAUAAUCUGAUUCUAAUCCAUACCAUGUGUCUUGUAAGUCUUGUGCCAAUAUUUUGGCAGUUAACCAUGAUUUGUCAUUUUAUUCAUCUUCUACGCAUGCACCAAUAUUUUGGCAGUUAACCAGGAUAUAUAAAAGUUUCAUACACCAAUAUAAAGUGAAACUUUUCUGGUGAGCAAAAGGACUGAAACAAUACUACCCACCUAAAUGUCAAAGUUCAAUCUAUUGUUGACUUUCUGCCAUAUAUCUAACUGGUUAAUAUGACUUGUGAUCAGGUAUCUCAAAUUGCCAGAUUGCUGAAAUUAUUUGUAAGUACGUUAAUCAUACUUUUUUUUGAAACUCAUUAUUCGUACGAUUAGAAACAUGUCUCAUUUCUGACCAAUGAAAAACAACCAGCUAGGCAACUCUGUUUGGCUAAAAGCCAGCUGCGCGAGGGCUGCCAAAAUAUUUAAAAUGAAUUGGCAAUCUCAACAAGUAAAGUGUUUGACAUUAAUUAUAUAUUGAUGUGCAACUAAUGUGAGUAAACGCUGGACUGAUUAUUGUUUAGAAGUAUUGCCUCCUUUAAAUGUUUUUUUUGUUCACCAGAUCUUUGGUUGAAUGUGUAUUAUUUCUGAUGCAGCCAGUUACACUCCCUCCAGUUCCUUCUAUAAGUCACUUUAGACUCAGCAUUUUAAACCCUUUUCUUCUUCUUAUGGCUUUGCUAAAUGAUAUCCUUCUAAUGAGCGAAUGAAUCAUGAUUCCUAAUCUGUGAAUAACUGAAGGGGUAAAAUAUCUUUUCAUCUACUUCCUGAACACAUGCACGUAAAAUCUAGGAUGAUCUAUAAUUGUUACCGGAAGUACCUAUCAUAUCAUUAUCAAGGAAUGACUUCGUGUAGUGGGCUUUCCUUUUCUGCUCUAUCUUUACAGCAAAUGUAUGGAGCUGAAAGUGACUAAAAUCUUUUUCAGGAAAACGAAAGGUAAUUUCCUAUAAGUUAUCUGCAAAUGUUUUUUUCUUAUGUAAUAGAUUGGCAGUUGAGUCACUUUCUUCAUUUGAAAAGAAAGUACUUGCUUUAUGUUUUUGGUCCUUCACUUAUAUCAACUAAUGUGGACAGUAUAUUUCCGUUGCUACUACUCUCCAUGGGUAGAGGAUUAAUAUGAAUUGUUUACACUAAUCCAAGAAAACGAUUGCUUAGCCUCCUAGCUAGAGUCUUAGGUGUUGUCACUGAUUAUUGAUCUGUCACUAUUUACAUGUGGGGAUCAACAAAUAAGUGUUGCUGUGGACAUUGACAUAUUCAUGAAAACCUUACAGAAACCACUAGUUUCUGUCAUUGUAUAUUUGAAAAUUCAAGCAGAACUAUACUGGAAUAUAUGUAAGAGAUUUAAACAUGCUGUCUGACGCCAGAAUCACAUAUUGCAAAGAUAUUACUUUACAUCAAAAUUUGAACUAAACAGUUUUAGGAUGAUGCUAGUCCUAAUGGAACAUUAUGAAAUAAAUAUGUAUUCAAAUCGGUGUGGUUCUUUCUUCAAAAAGAGAAAAUAAAAUAAAAUGGGGAUGCCUCCAUCUCUUUAAAGGCGAGGUUGACUCCAGAGGACAGGAUGGAGACUAGAUUCCGCAAUCCAUGACAUGCAUCGCAAUCGCAUUUCGCAAAGGUGACAUUGAUCUGCGUCUACAUGCUUUCAGGAGUUGUUCCUUCGCUGUUUUGGUCCGCGCUGUCUAUGGCUAGGAGGCUCGGCGCCCAGUCCCAGCAGGAGUCCCCUACACACUACUACAAGAUCAGUGGAUGGGGCCACCAUUGUCGAUAUUAGUGGAUGGCAGUUGGGCAGGUUGGCUACACUGCUUUGGUGGCAAUGGACACUUUUAGUAUGCUGGAUUUGACAUCCAAGAACCAGUUCGUUUUCAUCUGAGGGCCAACUUUCUUCAAAUUACUUUCAAAUAAGCUAUUCAGAUAUGUCUGCUGCUUGGCAAGCUCUAUUAGGCCCUACAAUCUCAUGGUAAAGGACCCAAAAUGGUUAGAUAUAACUCUGGUAUAUGCUUCAAAUUUGAGAUGUCUAUUUGACAUGCUGAAGUAAGGAAAUUUCAGAAGAUAGGAAUUUCAUAGGAUUUGCACGUGAGAACUAACUAGGAUUUUUAUUGUAAAAAAUGCCUUGUUUCUCAA